rfam:Takifugu rubripes chromosome, Chr_10
AACCUAUCGGGGACAGUGUUUCCCACAGUUU